rnacentral:other from 1 species
AUAAUCCUGCCCUGUGCGUGGAUUCGUUUGGGCCCAUAUAAACCCACAUUUUUCAUAAGGGACGCCGUAUUCCUGCGUGGAUUGCAGGCCUCCCGGCCCCCUACGAGGUGCGUUGGAAGUUGGAAGCGAGGUAGCACAGGAGAGGCGACCCACCUGCCGGAGACGUGCAGGUUCUAUCUGGGCCCCCACGGCAGAGGCGGGAGAGGC